AUCGCUUCUUGGCCUUUUGGCUAAGAUCAAGUGUAGUGUCUGUUCUUAUCAGUUUAAUCAUGAUCCUGAACAUUUGUAUAGUAUGUUAUUAUUAUUAUUAUUAUUAUUUUGAGAUGGAGUCUCACUCUGUUGCCCAGGCUGGAGUGCAAUGGUACAGCCUCAGCUCACAGCAG
rnacentral:snRNA from 1 species